AUGAGAAACAGCCCUGUCCUCAUCUGGAGCAGGAUUUUCAGCACAAAGGGCUUUAUGAGGCUCACAAAGCGUGGCAUCUGGUUUUACAUACGAGCUCCGGGAGGCAGAGAUCAGAGUCCUGCUGGGCUGAACGCUGCGCGUACCAUAACAAAAAGGCAGUCGUGGUGCCAAACAACUUCCAGCCUUCUCCUUAAUAUCUCGGUGCUCUUCCCCCACCACAUCCAGGCUUUCCAUCCUCCUGGUCUCUGCGUUUCCAUCCGCUGUUUUCAAGCAAGCCAGCCGCCAGGAACGCUAUCAGUGCCCGUGUGCUCCUGUCGAUGCUUUCACCCAGCAAUUUGCAGAGCUCCCUGCCUGUAAUCAGCGGCCGAAAGCACCGCGCUUUGUAGGAAGAAACAUCUGGGAUGGCUGCUGGAUCCGGGCAGGCUGUUUCCCAUGAGGAUGAUGAAAAUGAGCCUUUGCUAACAGGGUAACUGAGCCCCUCGCUGACACGCAGUGAGGGUGUCAUUAGGACACUUCUUGCACUGUGGCUGGUGAUGAGCGUGUUAGUGCCCAGAGCCCUAAACCAGCCUUUUUGUUGGGGCUGAGGCACAGCCAGGGUACAAGCUCAGCUCCCUUUUCUGAAUGCAGCUGGUGGGGAACCGGGGGAGGCCCUGUGGUGUCCAAAAGCUGCCCUCCAGCCCUUCCCUAAAUGGGGCAGGACCCCAGACUUGUGGCUGGGAGGAAGAAAGGGCAGAGUAAGGGAGGAGAGGGGCUGAGAGCCACGGGGAGCAGCAGGAGGCACCCCACAGCAUCCCUGCCUGCGGGAGGGUGGGCAGGAGGACAAACAGGGACAUGGUGCCCUCUCCCCUCCUCUCCUUGAUUUAUUGUCCUGCUGUGGGACACCAAACACCUUGAGUAACUCGUGUGCUGUUGGGCAACGU
rnacentral:lncRNA from 1 species